AUGACUUUGUUUGUGCCUCAGAGCUUCUUUUCAAUUUGGUUUCAUCAUUACUUUUUUUUUUUUAUUUUUUAUUUUAGCUUAAUUAAUGUUGUCAUUUUUUUGAUAGGUAGCUAAAAUGCUGUUGUCAUAUAUGUUAUUAAACUGACAACCUUUUUGUGGUUAUCUUCAUAAUUGUGUGCUUGCCAAUGAACCCAACAUCAAAAUAGAUGCCUAAGAUGAUGACUAGAAAAUUAUGGUCCAAUUCAAAGCUAAUCUACUCGGUACUCACAAAGCAUGAAAUUGAUUGUACACCCACAGAAUUUAGUAAAUAUCUUAUCUAUUACGGAAGCCCAAUUAGUGCUUCUCUUAUGGCUAAACCAUAGAAGUGUGUAUAAGAUGUAGACAUAGUCUUUCCCUGGUGCCAUAUUUUCUGUGCUUGUUUGUUUGUACUGCUGCUAAAACUACAAUAUGCUGGGGCUGUUGGCACAUUCGUUUUGUACAGAUAUUUAGAUGAUUGCUUUUGGAAUAAAAAGUAGAACCUUGUUGCCAUUUACUAGCCAGUAGUCAGUGCUUGUGUUACCUGCAUUUUCUCUUGUCGGGUGUUGUUUGGCUAUAGUGGUGAUGUAUAGAAAAAAGAAAGUA